GUCAGGUAUGGUGGCACAUGCCUGUAAUCCCAGCUCCUUGGGAGGCUGAGGUAGGAGGAUCACUUGAGCCCAGGAGUUCAAGGCUGCAGUGAGCAGUGAUCACACUACUGCAGUCAGCUAUGAUUGCACCACUGCACUCCUGCCUGGGUGACAGAGCAAGACCCUGUUUCUU
rnacentral:SRP_RNA from 1 species